AAGAAAGUCUCAAGAAUCCGCCCAUCGCUGGUCUUGGGCUGGGCUGACCGCAGCUUCGUUGUCUCUUUUAAAUCAGCUGAGAGGAUGGAGCAAUGGUAUAAGGAGCUUUGUAGCAACAUUUACAGUGAGAACAUGGACUAUGUGGACG